GACGGUAGAGGGGGCAACCCCUUGAGAGUGGCGAACGGGUGAGUAAUAUAUCGGAACGUGCCCAGUCGUGGGGGAUAACGUAGCGAAAGUUACGCUAAUACCGCAUACGAUCUAAGGAUGAAAGCGGGGGAUCGCAAGACCUCGCGCGAUUGGAGCGGCCGAUAUCAGAUUAGGUAGUUGGUGGGGUAAAGGCUCACCAAGCCAACGAUCUGUAGCUGGUCUGAGAGGACGACCAGCCACACUGGAACUGAGACACGGUCCAGACUCCUACGGGAGGCAGCAGUGGGGAAUUUUGGACAAUGGACGCAAGUCUGAUCCAGCCAUUCCGCGUGCAGGAUGAAGGCCCUCGGGUUGUAAACUGCUUUUGUACGGAACGAAAAGGUCUCUCUUAAUACGGGGGGCUCAUGACGGUACCGUAAGAAUAAGCACCGGCUAACUACGUGCCAGCAGCCGCGGUAAUACGUAGGGUGCAAGCGUUAAUCGGAAUUACUGGGCGUAAAGCGUGCGCAGGCGGUUAUGUAAGACAGAGGUGAAAUCCCCGGGCUCAACCUGGGAACUGCCUUUGUGACUGCAUAGCUAGAGUACGGUAGAGGGGGAUGGAAUUCCGCGUGUAGCAGUGAAAUGCGUAGAUAUGCGGAGGAACACCGAUGGCGAAGGCAAUCCCCUGGACCUGUACUGACGCUCAUGCACGAAAGCGUGG
rnacentral:rRNA from 1 species